AGAGGUGUGGCCAAGCGGUAAGGCAGCGGAAUUUGACUCCGCCAAGAGAGGUAACGCUCUCGCUCGUUGGUUCGAAUCCAACCAUCUCUGCCA
rnacentral:tRNA from 1 species